rnacentral:piRNA from 2 species
UAAUAAAGUUGAGCCAGAGAGAAAGG